UCUCCUACGGGGCGCAGCAGUGGGGAAUAUUGGACAAUGGGCGCAAGCCUGAUCCAGCCAUACCGCGUGGGUGAAGAAGGCCUUCGGGUUGUAAAGCCCUUUUGUUGGGAAAGAAAAGCAGUCGGCUAAUACCCGGUUGUUCUGACGGUACCCAAAGAAUAAGCACCGGCUAACUUCGUGCCAGCAGCCGCGGUAAUACGAAGGGUGCAAGCGUUACUCGGAAUUACUGGGCGUAAAGCGUGCGUAGGUGGUUGUUUAAGUCUGUUGUGAAAGCCCUGGGCUCAACCUGGGAAUUGCAGUGGAUA
rnacentral:rRNA from 1 species